rnacentral:snoRNA from 2 species
AGAUCAUGAUGAGGACAUUUUUCGUAAUAGCUCCUUGAAUCUUUCCCAAGUUUCAUAUAAGGAUUCCCCGUCCUCUUGUGAAUAUGUAUUGAUUUCAGUUAUUAAUUU